UUCGGGGCUAUUUUACAAACAUGGUGUAAUGAACGUCAUAUAUCAUAACAAAACAAAACUUUCAACAACGGAUCUCUUGGCUCUCGCAUCGAUGAAGAACGCAGCGAAAUGCGAUAAGUAAUGUGAAUUGCAGAAUUCAGUGAAUCAUCGAAUCUUUGAACGCACCUUGCGCCCUCUGGUAUUCCGGAGGGCAUGCCUGUUUGAGUGUCAUGUAGACUCAAUCCCUCGGGUUUCCGAGGAGAUUGGACUUGGGUGUUGCCGCUUCUGCCGGCUCACCUUAAAAGACUUAGCGGGGAUAGCACCAUAGUCGGCGUAAUAAGUUUCGUCGGUGAAGGUUGUGAUGACUGCUUACAAUCGCCCUCGGGCAAUUUUUGACUCUGACCUCAAAUCAGGUAGGACUACCCGCUGAACUUAAGCAUAUCAAUAAGCGGAGGAAAAGAAACUAACAAGGAUUCCCUUAGUAGCGGCGAGCGAAGCGGGAAGAGCUCAAAUUUGAAAGCUGGCGUCCUUCGGGCGUCCGCAUUGUAAUCUAUAGAGGCGUUUUCUGUGCUGGACCGUGUCCAAGUCCCUUGGAACAGGGUAUCAAAGAGGGUGACAAUCCCGUACUUGACACGACAACCAGUGCUCUGUGAUACGUCUUCUACGAGUCGAGUUGUUUGGGAAUGCAGCUC
rnacentral:rRNA from 1 species